AAUAAAAAAUUGGCGCUCUUCAUCCCGCUAUUUUUUUUUUUCAAUUGAUUUGAUUCCUAUUUUUCAGGAAAAGAUCAUCUUUACCCAAAUCAACUAUUCAAUAUAAGGUUAAUUCCAUUUAUGAUACCGUUUGAAGAAAGGAAAAAGAAUUAUUCUCAUACAUUUUCUCUAUACGGUAGUUCCGACUCUUCGACUUUACUUACACCGAUUCCUUAUCGCAUUCCAUAUUGCUGUACAGAGGAUUCAAGGAAUCUGAGCAGAAGAUGGGUUUUGAAUGGGGUACUGGAAAGGUAAUGCAGUUGGAACUAAACGCUGCCAAUUAUGUAGUCGGAAACAAUGCAAGGUUUUUUUCGUCUCAACUAGGAAUCUUAGCAAAAGAUGGCAACAGAGUGCCACUAUCUCAUUUCGGUGGAAGUGAAGGAAAAUAAAAACUUGUCGGGCAGUUACAAAAAAAAUUGUUUGAAAAACUUGAAAAACUCUGGAAGGCUUGGAAGAAUAGAUUGAAAGCGAAGUAUUAUACCCCACAUAGGCAUGACAAGAAUUACAUACUGUGAAGAUGUCCCCAAAUGGUGGAAGCCGAUGAAUGGCCUUUAUUGGUAAACCAUUGGAGUUCGGAAAAUGCAAAGGUUAGUAUUAUACAUCAAAUAAAUUCUAAAAUUUGUGAUGUUCAGCUUGCAAUUGGUAACAUAGUUAAAUUCAGUUAUUAAAUGUUGCAAUUUCAGUGUAUGAGAUAGUAUUUUGUUGGAAAUUUGUGCGCCUCAUAAAAGGAAAAAUUUGAAGAUAAUUAUUACAUCAACAUGUUAAUGUAAUCAUAAUUCUUUUAAUGGCGUAAAUACAUGGUUGCUUGUUAAAUAAUUUGUGCAAAAUGACUAUAUAAUCUGAAGGUGUGUCCUAUGCCUUUUUUUUCUUCUUUUUCUUUUCUCUUAGAUUAUAUUGUUUGUUCUUGCUUUUUAGUGAUUGAUUAUAUAUCAAAUGUUACUGUUGGUACUUGAUUGAAUUUUAGAAACUUAGUAAGAUUAAUAGAAACAAUCGGAAGCAUGUCACACUUUCUCCUAGACUGGGACGGAAGGAUAUGGCCAAUGCUAUAGAAGAGUACCGUCGGGAAUAUGGUAAAGAAUCAUCACAACUAGAUUUGUUUGUCUAUACACGUCAACAGCAGAGUGCAAAAUCAGUUGAUAAGAAUACACAAGAGAAACUAGUAAGUACUCUUUAUUUUCCACUUGUUUAAAGUCAUUAACUCGUAUGGAUUUAAUUAUUGAUAGACUUUUUGAUUAUUUGGAUUCAAUAUUGUGUUAUUUCUUAUUUCUUUCUUUUUGAUUAAGGGUAUCAGUACUCGACGUUUGUGAUCAUAAUUGAGAUUUUGUCUGAUCAUGUAUUAUCUCAUAAAUAGAUUGAUCAUCCAUCGCGAUUGUUGCUUUAUCAUCAACACUAGUAGUUUUUUCCUUAAACCAAACACUAAUUUAUUUUCUUCUAUUUUCUUCAGUACCUUCUACCUAUUAAAAAUAUUAAUUAAUUAAAUAAAUCUAUUUUAUGUGAU